UCUUUUUCCUUUAUCACCUCACGUUCUCAGGCUUCUGUUAGGUGUUAAGUUAAGUUAAGUUAAGAGUCUGCGACUCGCCGACUCUAGACUUGAAAUCAAAUUUGAUUCUGUCGAAGGUGUUAUUAAGCUUUGCAGAUACUGCGGAAGGAUCCAGAAAGCCUGCAGGUUGUUUGUAGGAUUUACAUUUGUUCUCUGGUGAAGAAGGAUUGUCAAGAUAGUGUGCUCUACCCGAACGUUGUUAGCUGCCAUCAUAUUAAAUGAGGAUACCACACACUGAGUUGACUUCGCUGUAGCUAUGCAACUAGGCUUGGCAGUGUCUUCAUCGGUUUAAAUUUGGCAAAACAAAUUCAUGUCAUAUUUGAGCAUCUAUUCUGUAUUCUCCAAGGGCGAUUUCUGUAGACAUACCCGGAUCCUUCCGGAUUACCGAAUGGGUUUCGGUGGAUUUUCCCCUUGCCAUCAGGGAUGGGCGUUGUCACUGUUCUCAAGGACUGUCACUUUCGCUUGAGUCUGUCGGAUUUUACAACAAGUUUGCAAGCAAACCUGAAGGUCCCACCGCCGAGUCCAUGAGACGAAACACAAACAAUAUAUUUCAACUACUUGUACCAAACCAACACCAGUGUGCAGACUGUGAUUACUUGAGAUUAUCCUCCCGAAUCUCCAAGUGAAUCUACAGACCCCUGACUCUCGGUACUAAUAUUAUGCAGAUUUGAGCCUUUUAAACAGGUGGAAACGGGAUUAAUUCAACGUCUAUGCUAGCCUCUAUUUGUUUUUGGCCGGGACAUCCAGGGGAAUCCUUCUGUAAAUUUAAGUAGUUAAUUUUCCGCUCAACGUUCAUUGUUCAAUUGUUUGAUUUAAUUUUGAUUGGAUUUAAUUAUUAAUGAAGUGCAUGGAAUACCGGAUUAUCGUCCAAUAGAGAUUGAUACCCUGGCGGCAGAUGAUGGCGACGACUCAUCCUUUGGAGUUUGCAUCACUUUGGAGAUGGCACGCUAAACACGACACGUUGUUAAGACCGUGCCGACGUGACCAAAUUAAAGGAAGGGGACAACGAAAUGCGAAUGCGACAUUAUACUAGGAUUACCCUACUGCACGGAAACGGGAUUGAAAUCAACAUUGCAGAGAAACUUAGUAAAACCCCCAAUUUGGCUCCCGUGCACACCAUUUUCCCGGAACUGAAGAUGAGAGCUGUCGUCCUAGGCUCACGGAUUCGCAUAAUCACGGCCGCGAAUCGUUUGGGGUUGUACUCUGCAUUGCGUGCGUGCAAUGCAAUUUGUUUCAGGUCCAACUUGCAUCCCAGAUUGACGGAACAAUUCCGGAACCAGCAGACGCUGGUGUGUAGGGUGUCGCUGGAGCGAUUGUUCUAGGACCAAAUAUUCCACCUUCCGGGGUUCCUUGUGACAUGGGCGAACCUGCAUUAACUGCACUUGAUCUUCGAUUUGGAGCAGAGACUACCAAUUGGACCGACCCCUAGCACGUGCGCGCCCUUUUCCUCUGAAGCUAUCGACAGUGGAACGUCAUCAAUCGGCAUGCGGUCGUCGACAGGCCGACAUCAUCAAUAUUUCCUGUUUUAUUUAAUAGUAGGUCAUAGGAGGUAGGGACAGGGAAGUAAAAUCGGAAAUUAUCGACAAGUACCUUUUCCUAUGAAUUUGGUUGAAGGUCACAGCGAAAAAUACGUAAAACUGUCAUGCGACGGAGGUUGGGUGAGAAAGAAACGUGUUACACCAUUAUCAAGUAGGUAGAAUUUCCGCAAGGCUUGAGAAAGGGUGAGAAAAAGUUGUAUAAAAGGAGAGAGGAAAGGCCUCAGACAUCAGUCGAGUGAGCAUCUCCCACACGGUAACAACUGCACCAACUGUAUUCUUCGUCGUAAUACCAAUUCGCAAAUAUGGUUAACUAUGGCGUCGUGCUGCUGCUGGAUGUUGUAUCUGCCUGUGAUGUGCCAGGAUUCAGUCGAUGGUCCUCUGAUGACAGGGUCUUUGAGCUGAGUCUCUACCAGCCACAACUCUACGACCAUUUACUUCACCGAGACUCCCCAGUACUACACCGAAAAGGCCGAAUAUUAAACCACCACGUUCGCUGCCCUAGUUUACUACACCGAGGGACCCAAGUAUGACUCUACUCCGAGCUACUACCUGACAGAGGCUUCUGUUAACUACACCACCAACGCACCCGAGUGCUACACGACAACCUAAGCUGCCCCCAAGUACAACACUGAAGCUCCGACGUACUACACCAUCAAGUCACAACCAGUUCGCAAUCAUGGUUAAUUUUGGUGUCGUGUUGCUGUUGAGGGUCCUAUCGCUUAUAGCGGGUCGACCACUGUGUUCUUCCAAUUCUUAAUCAAAGUGAGUUAUGGCGUCGUGCUCCUGUCGACUGUUGUAUCGUUUAUGGCUGAGUCAACCACUUGUGUACCGAUGUCUCCUGGGUAUGGCGGGUACCUAAUUGCAACGCCGCCGUCUCACUACACACAACAUUAACAUACGCAACGACCUGUUAGGCUCCGAGGCCCCCAAGUACUACACCGAAAGACGGAAUAUUACACAUUCACGUUCGCUGCCCCAGUUUUCUACACCGAGGAACCAAAGUAUUACUCUGCUUCAAGCUACUAUCAAACUGAGGCUCCUGUGCACUUCACCACCAGCAACGCCACUGAUUAUUACACGACAACUAAGGCUGCCCUCCACUACUCCACUGGUGCUCCGAAGUACUACAUCAUCAAGUCACUUAGCUAUCAAGGCCUGAUUGCAAUCAUGGUCAAUUUAGGCGUCGUGUUGCUGUGGGGGUUUAAUCGUUGAUUGCGUGUUGUAUCGUUGCUGGCUGAGUCCACCACUGGUCUACUGAUGUCUCCUGAGGAUGGUGGAGGCGAAAUCGCAGCGCCGUCGCCUAACCACAAGACAACGUGGAUGACAACCAGUUACUACACCAAGGCUUUGGACGACUAGUCGACUACCCUACAACCUACGCUGCUCCAAUUUACUACCUCGAGGCCAAAUAAUGUUACUCCACUCCCAGUUACUACACCGAGGCUCCAGUUUAUUACAUCACCGAGUAACACGCAGAGGAUCCCAAGCACUACACAAACACAUCACCAGAGUACUACACGACUACGUAUGCUGCUCAAGCUGACUACACCAAGGCUUCCAAGUUUUCUCUGCUACCAGCUACUACACCGAGGCCCCACCCUGCCCCUAGCUACACACUCGCAGCUGAGCCGGUCAAGUACUACCCAGCACCUACUUACUGCGCAGAGGCUGCCCUAACUACUACACCAUGAUCUACGCUGCUCCAGGCUACUACACUGAAGCUCUGUUAACUACAAGGCACUCGAGUAUGAAACCACUGCUUCCGCUUCUCCGACCUACUGCACCGAAGUAUUACUCUGCCCCGAAUUACUGCAACAUUAAGGCACUUGCAUAUUACAUCACAACCUACGCUUCCUGCCUACUACAAGAAAGCCUUUAAUGUGAGAUUUAAAAUGUUGUUUUAUGUUCAGAUUUUGUUACAUCUUAAUAAUUAUUGUUAAUUGAAAUUGAUCGUUAGUUUUAAAUGAGCAAACCGGAGAAAAUAAAAUUUUUAAUGCGA